AACCUUAACCAGUAGAAUGUCCAUGUCCCUUAGUUACCAGAAAACUUAAAUAUCAGAAGAAAAAAAAGGAUGUGAACUGUGACUGUGAAUAAAAGUGUGGCAACGCACGCCGGCACUAUCAGUGAUGACUGUAUUCCAGUGGCCACCACAGCACAGCACAGUCAGCACGUUUCAAGCACUGUGUGACCUCAGCACGUAGGAAUAGAAGAAACGUAAAGAAAACCACUGCUACAAAAUCCUCAUUGGAUUUUUCACCAUUCAGUUCAUCUUUGCACAGCUACUGCACCUGCCAUUGAUAAGUACUCACUCUUUGUUACCUUAAAUAAUAUAGUAAAAUGUAAUGGAAAGAAAGAAGUCCACAGACAAUAAAUAAUACAGCAAAUGGUUAUGUGGUGAAAACAGACCUAUUUAUUCAACACAACGCAAUAUUAUGCAACCAACCACACCAUUCUGUUUAUUACCCACACUUCAGUGCCUUCACUGGCUGGGUAAUCACUAGCCUUUGUCAGAUUAUAUGUACCAUUCUGUAUGAUCUCUGGGUAAUAAAUGCUUCAAAAUAUAAAAUG